rnacentral:rRNA from 1 species
AUACGUAGGGUGCAAGCGUUAAUCGGAAUUACUGGGCGUAAAGCGUGCGCAGGCGGUUUUGUAAGAAAGAGGUGAAAUCCCCGGGCUCAACCCGGGAACUGCCUUUGUGACUGCAAGGCUAGAGUACGGCAGAGGGGGAUGGAAUUCCGCGUGUAGCAGUGAAAUGCGUAGAUAUGCGGAGGAACACCGAUGGCGAAGGCAAUCCCCUGGGCCUGCACUGACGCUCAUGCACGAAAGCGUGGGGAGCAAACAGGAUUAGAUACCCUGGUAGUCCACGCCCUAAACGAUGUCAACUGGUUGUUGGGGAUUUAUUUUCUCAGUAACGAAGCUAACGCGUGAAGUUGACCGCCUGGGGAGUACGGCCGCAAGGUUAAAACUUAAAGGAAUGGACGGGG